GACGAACGCUGGCGGCGUGCUUAACACAUGCAAGUCGAACGGAAAGGCCCUGCUUUUGUGGGGUGCUCGAAUGGCGAACGGGUGAGUAACACGUGAGUAACCUGCCCUUGACUUUGGGAUCACUUCAGGAAACUGGGGCUAAUACCGGAUAGGCGCUCAUGCUGCAUGGUGGGGGUUGGAAAGUUUCGGCGGUUGGGGAUGGACUGGCGGCUUAUCAGCUUGUUGGUGGGGUAGUGGCUUACCAGGGCUUUGACGGGUAGCCGGCCUGAGAGGGGGACCGGCCCCAUUGGGACUGAGCUACGGCCCAGACUACUACGGGAGGCAACAGUGGAGAAGAUUGCACAAUGGGCUGAAGCCUGAUGCAGCAACGCCGCGUGCGGGAUGACGGCCAUCGGGUUGUAAACCGCUUUCGCCUGUGACGAAGCGUGAGUGACGGUAAUGGGUAAAGAAGCACCGGCUAACUACGUG
rnacentral:rRNA from 1 species